rnacentral:rRNA from 1 species
CUAUACAUGCAGUCGAGCGAAUGGAUUAAGAGCUUGCUCUUAUGAAGUUAGCGGCGGACGGGUGAGUAACACGUGGGUAACCUACCCAUAAGACUGGGAUAACUCCGGGAAACCGGGGCUAAUACCGGAUAAUAUUUUGAACUGCAUAGUUCGAAAUUGAAAGGCGGCUUCGGCUGUCACUUAUGGAUGGACCCGCGUCGCAUUAGCUAGUUGGUGAGGUAACGGCUCACCAAGGCGACGAUGCGUAGCCGACCUGAGAGGGUGAUCGGCCACACUGGGACUGAGACACGGCCCAGACUCCUACGGGAGGCAGCAGUAGGGAAUCUUCCGCAAUGGACGAAAGUCUGACGGAGCAACGCCGCGUGAGUGAUGAAGGCUUUCGGGUCGUAAAACUCUGUUGUUAGGGAAGAACAAGUGCUAGUUGAAUAAGCUGGCACCUUGACGGUACCUAACCAGAAAGCCACGGCUAACUACGUGCCAGCAGCCGCGGUAAUACGUAGGUGGCAAGCGUUAUCCGGAAUUAUUGGGCGUAAAGCGCGCGCAGGUGGUUUCUUAAGUCUGAUGUGAAAGCCCACGGCUCAACCGUGGAGGGUCAUUGGAAACUGGGAGACUUGAGUGCAGAAGAGGAAAGUGGAAUUCCAUGUGUAGCGGUGAAAUGCGUAGAGAUAUGGAGGAAC